rnacentral:misc_RNA from 1 species
AAAGUCGUAACAAGGUUUCCGUAGGUGAACCUGCGGAAGGAUCAUUAGUGAUAUUGAAAUACUUUUUCAAGUCUCUAUAUACUCUUUUGUCAACCAUACCAUGUUGCUUCCACUGGCCAGAUAGUCCAGCCUUUUAAGGAUGGUCUGUCCUCCAGCACCUUGUGUGCACGGAGAGUGUCGGUGGAAAGAAAACCAAAACUUGCUUUUAGAAAAACUUGUCUGACAACUUUUAUAUAACUUUAUAAAACUUUCAACAACGGAUCUCUAGGCUCUU